rnacentral:rRNA from 1 species
GACGAACGCUGGCGGCGUGCUUAACAAACGCAAGUCGAACGGAGCGGCGAACGGGUGAGGAACUCGUGAGUAACUGCCCCCCUCUCUGGUAUAACAGUUGGAAACGGCUGCUAAUACCGGAUAGUUGGGGAUGACUCGCGUCCGAUCAGCUUGUUGUUGGGGUAGUGGCUUACCAAGGCGACGACUGGUCGCCGGCCUGAGAGGGCGACCGGCCACAUUGGGCUGAGAUACGGCCCAAACUCCGACGGGAGGCAGCAGUGGGGAAUAUUGCACAAUGGGGGAAACCCUGAUGCAGCAACGCCGCGUGCGGGAUGACGGCCUUCGGGUUGUAAACCGCUUUCAGCCAUGACGCGGUAGUGGCAGAAGAAGCACCGGCUAACUACGUGCCAGCAGCCGCGGUAAUAC